CUCUACGCUUAAAAUACUCUCACCUUAACAACUGAUUUGUUUUCUUCUCUCUUUUCUCUCUCUCUUUGCAGAAAACUAAAAUCCAUUUGCUAAAGCGGUUUGUCAGCUAGCUUUUUCUCUUUCAAUCUUUUGCAGAUUUAUCAGCUAUUUUCUCCAAAUUCAAGAAAAAAGAGGGGUCUCUAUUCGUCUUUGAUUACUUCUGCUGAAGGUUGCUGGCACGUACAACAGUUGAAGUCUUGAAGCAAAAAGUAUAUACCUUGUGAAGUCGAUCGUCACAUUUAUAAGUAAAAUGUCUUCUCGUUGGUGUUCUUAAUGAUCGGAAAAUCAAUUUUCUGAUCAAAGUUGAGAAAGUUUGAAGUUGUUGUACGGUCGAUCGGCUUUUGGAGGUGUCGUUUUCGGUCGAGGUGAAAGUAGUUGAAAAACCAGCAAAAAAAGGUUUACAAGAGGGAGAAAGCGUGCGGGUUGAAACUUUUUGAAAGAUUUUUGUUCACGUGAGGAUUGAAAAAAAAUGCCGCAUAGAACGACUUACUUCUUUCCGAGGCAAUUUCCUGACCGCGGGUUCGAUGCAUCUGCAAAGUUUGUUAAUGAUGAUCACGAGAAGAAAAUCAGUACUGUCGUUGAAGAUCAAAUUAAAUCAGGAAAAUCUUCAGAUAAUGUCACAUCGAAACAGCUGACAAGUGAUCAUGGGAAAGAGACUAAUAAUAAUGCUUCAUUUUCCUAUGGGCACCGUGAUAAGAUUCACGGGAAGCAAUUGUCCGCUUUUGUGAGCUGGCUGGCGGAGAAAAAUAAGAAAGGUAAAUCAAUACAGAAUCACGUGAAGAUCAAAUUAGAUGAUGUUGAUGGCGAUGAUGAACAUGAACUUUUGCUUCCUGCUCCGCCUGAGGCUGUACCAGUACAUGAACUGGUUGCUUGCCACGUGGCGGAGGCGGAGGCGGAGCAGAAGCAACGGCAAGGGUCGACAUUUGAUCGGAAAGUUUCAUUACAGAGAUUAUCGAGUAGUGGAAGCAAUUUCAGUUGUGCGGGGAAGGGUAAUUUUGAGAGACAAACUUCGUUGCAAAGGCUAUCGAGUUGGGGAAGUACUAGUUAUGCAGGGAGUUUGUUUUCGGGGACGACGUUGGAUGGGAACUGGCCGAGUACUGGGGUUAAAGAUACGCAGACGGAUCAGUCGACGACGAGGGAAGUGGAGGAAGUGGUGGAGGCGGCGGAGGAAGAGGUGGAGAGAGUUGACAGUGAGGGUUCGUUGAUGCAGAAGUCGAAAGAGAGCUAUUACUUGCAGCUCACGCUUGCUAAAAAGCUUGUAGAGCAAGCAAUGCUUGCUUCUGGAGAGCCUAUGCUUCUGCAAGAAUGCAGAAGUACUAAGGGCCUUGGUGGUUCUUCUGAUGCUCAAACUGUGUCAUAUCGUUUAUGGGUGAGUGGUUCCUUGUCUUAUGCGGACAAAAUAUCGGAUGGGUUUUAUAACAUAUUAGGAAUGAAUCCGUAUCUGUGGGUUAUGUGUAAUGAGACAGAGGAUGGUAGACGAACUCCAUCUCUAAUGGCACUAAAAGAAAUUGAACCCGGUGAUACAUCAAUGGAGGUUGUUCUUAUUGAUAGGCGUGGGGAUUCAAAGCUCAGAGAAUUAGAAGAUAAAGCUCAAGAAAUUUACUUUGCUGCAGAGAAUACGUUAGUGUUGGCAGAGAAACUUGGCAAGCUUGUGGCUGUGUAUAUGGGGGGCUCUUUUCCGGUGGAGCAAGGUGAUCUUCAUCAGCGGUGGAAAGUUGUUAGCAAGAGAUUAAAGGAUCUGCAGAAGUGCAUUGUGCUACCAAUCGGCAAUUUGUCCUCAGGACUUUGCAGGCACAGGGCUAUUUUAUUCAAGAAAUUGGCAGAUUACGUAGGUUUGCCUUGUAGGAUAGCUCGAGGUUGCAAGUAUUGUGUUGCAGAUCAUCGAUCUUCUUGUCUGGUGAAAAUUGAGGAUGAUAGAAGAUUGUCAAGAGAAUUUGUGGUUGAUCUUGUUGGGGAUCCAGGAAAUGUGCAUGGUCCAGAUUCCUCUAUCAAUGGAGGUGUAUUGGCUCCUGUUCCUUCACCACUUCAAGUAUCUCAUCUGAAGGAAUAUCAGCAGCCUUACGUGGAUAGUGACAUAAGUAAUCAGUUACUGCUGUCAAAUGACACAUUCGGUCCUGCAGAAAAUGCUUUGCAUACAGACCCCCACAUUGAAGGUGAUCAUGUGAGCGAAUUUGCUGUCAGUGAUAAGCCAAAGUUGCCAAAUGAUGCACUGUGCCGCUCUUAUCAAGCUUUGGAAGUUGAACCAUCCGAGGUUCUUGUUGCUGCUGAAACAGCGGGAGAUGAGUAUUCUAGACCAAGAGAAGAUAAAAUCAUUAUCAGGCAGACUUACAAGGAGGAGGUUGUGCUAUCCAAAAAGUCUCCAAUAUGCCCUGGCAGACCGCCAAAAGCAACUCUAUUAGCUAAUAUAGAUGCAAUGGAGGCAAGAGGUAGAACAGGGAAGCGUGAGAAACCGGCUGCAACGAAUCCCAGAUACUUGAAUCUUGAGCCUUCUCUUGCAAUGGAUUGGCUUGAGAUCUCAUGGGAUGAAUUACAGAUGAAAGAGCGUGUUGGUGCUGGUUCAUUUGGGACAGUACACCGUGCUGAAUGGCAUGGAUCGGAUGUUGCAGUCAAGCUGUUAACUGUCCAGGAUUUUCAUGACGAUCAGUUAAAGGAGUUCCUAAGGGAGGUUGCAAUUAUGAAACGUGUUCGUCAUCCAAAUGUGGUGUUGUUCAUGGGAGCUGUUACCAAGCGGCCGCAUCUAUCGAUAGUGACUGAAUAUUUGCCUAGGGGAAGUCUCUACCGUCUGAUACACAGGCCAGCUGCUGGGGAAUUGUUGGACCAGAGGAGACGUAUCCGUAUGGCUUUGGAUGUGGCCAAGGGUAUCAAUUAUUUGCAUUUGCUAAACCCACCUGUUGUGCAUUGGGAUCUGAAAUCUCCUAACCUGUUGGUUGAUAAAAACUGGAAUGUAAAGGUUUGUGAUUUUGGUCUGUCGAGAUUUAAAGCAAACACAUUCAUAUCAUCAAAAUCAGUUGCUGGAACUCCUGAAUGGAUGGCCCCGGAAUUUCUUCGUGGGGAGCCCUCAAAUGAGAAGUCUGAUGUCUAUAGCUUUGGCGUGAUAUUAUGGNCCCUUAUUUUUCUCCAGCACUCAUCCUUACACUUGUUAUCCUCCUGAGGGAGUCGUUGACGUAUUGUUUGCAAACUUUCAGGUUGUUGGUGCUGUUGCUUUCCAGAACAGGAGGCUCACUGUCCCGCAGAACACGUCUCCAAUGUUGGCAUCUCUUAUGGAAGCCUGCUGGAACGAUGACCCAGCACAACGCCCUUCCUUUGCGAGCAUUGUGGAUACAUUAAAGAAACUACUUAAGUCUCCACUACAGUUGAUUCAGAUGGGAGGAAAUGUUAAGAGUUAGAUACUCUCCACUUAUUUUGGAGAAUAAAUUCAUCAGAGUUCCUAGAUAUAUAACUACUUAAUACUGACAAAGUUUGCAAAACCUCACAAGGUUUAUGCCCAACAAUUGCAAAUAUGUUGGCCAUCUAACUUUUUGAAUGAUAAACAAGUCUCUGUCCGUUCUUGGGGAAAGAGGCAUUUCUUAAGUUGUUUUAUUGUAGAACCCUGGUCUAUGUCAGCCAUUGUCCACCUUCCAAAUGUGAAAUAAUUAGAGGCUGUAACUAUGUAGUAAUCGGGAAUAGUAUUCCCGUAUAAGUCGAAAUUAUGUUGUAUCCAAGGAAAGCAUUAUUGAGAAAAGUUGAUGUAGCAAAAUUGUAAGCCACUCUAAUAAUAUAGAAGUGAUUCAGUUAUUUUUUUGGUUCUC